AACAAAUAUCUAUGGUACUCUGCUUGUUGAAUCCUGUGACUUUUUGUAGGAUACAUUGUACUACGAUUGAGAAUAAUUAAAGUUGGUGCAAUUUUAUGUCUCAUACAUGCUUCACAUGGUUCAGGGAUGUCACCUUUUACAUCUUUUAAGCAUUCCAUUAGUGUUAACCUAUUUCUGAUUCCUACCUCUCUUUUUGUUGUAAAGAUUAUAAAGUUAAUUUAAUUUUUUUUUUAUUGUAAUGGGUUGUAUACUUGAAAUAGUUGAAAUGUAACGAUGUUAAUUUUAAAACCAUGUUCUAAUGUGGCUAUAGACAAUUGUAAUGCAUUAUUCUCUAGUUCUUAGUUUUAAAUCAUGGUUUCUUGUUUGUUGAUGAACAAAGAAUUUCUUGGUAUCAAAUUGAUGUACAAGGUAUAUGAGACUUUUUUUGACGUUGCAUAUGCAUAAUAUAGACAUAUAUUUUAAUCAAAUACUCAGGCGUAACACCAAGCAACAUCACCCAAUUUCAGAGCCAUUUUGAAUUUGAAACAGAUUACCCCCCCCCCCCCCCCUUCAAUUUUUUAGACUCAAAAUUCCAGAGUUUUUUUCAUAAAUUUCAUUAUACAUUUUCAUACAAUAUAUAAAAGGUAUUAAUUAUUUGAACUAAUGAGGUUGUAAAUGCAAUCUUACACUGUUAAAUGGCAUGUUACUUAUAUGUUUAUAUAUUUAUAAAAUGUUAAGUUUACUAUUAUAGAAUUAUUCUUGUUAUCAUUCCAUCACAUUUAGGCUCACCUGAGAAAACAUUCAAGUGAGUUUUGAGUUUUUGAGUAAUUUGAGUUUGUUCAAAAUAUAACUCCAGGGGUAAGUAAUGAGAAAAUUAAGAUUUCAUCAUAGAAAUAAAUAGAAGACAAGUCCUCAAUUAUUUUCUGAAAACCAUAUUUUAAAGUAGUCAUAUUUUACAUGAAUGCAUUCUUUAUAAAAACAAGUUUAAAUACAGUAUUUUCAUUGUGCACAUGUGUUGUGUUGUUUGUGGCUUUAUAUUUUGAAGGUAUUACGGUAUAUUUGAUAUUACUGCUCACUUAAUUCUGCUGUACGUCUGUACAUAAAAAUGUCUGUUCACAAUGUUCAUGUCAAGACAUUAAAUAUAUA
rnacentral:sRNA from 1 species